rnacentral:rRNA from 1 species
GUGAGGAAUAUUGGUCAAUGGGCGGAAGCCUGAACCAGCCAAGUAGCGUGCAGGAUGACGGCCCUAUGGGUUGUAAACUGCUUUUAUACGGGGAUAAAGUCAGCCACGUGUGGUUGAUUGCAGGUACCGUAUGAAUAAGGACCGGCUAAUUCCGUGCCAGCAGCCGCGGUAAUACGGAAGGUCCGGGCGUUAUCCGGAUUUAUUGGGUUUAAAGGGAGCGCAGGCCGGAAGCAAAGCGUGCCGUGAAAUGUAGAUGCUCAACAUCUGAAUUGCGGCGCGAACUGGUUUUCUUGAGUGCAUACGAGGUAGGCGGAAUUUGUGGUGUAGCGGUGAAAUGCUUAGAUAGCACGAAGAACUCCGAUUGCGAAGGCAGCCUACCAGGAUGUAACUGACGCUAAAGCUCGAAAGUGCGGGUAUCGAACAGGAUUAGAUACCCGGGUAGUCC